GGUGCCUCAAGACCGUCUUUAAGAGACAAAGUAAUCACUAUACAGAUAUAAACUAGACUGAAGAAUGUUGAAAACCCCAGCCAAAUCCUUAAAGCUGACAAAUGGGGUAUAGCAAUGGCAAAAAGGACACACGCCAACCCAGCCACUGCAAUGAAGUGUGGCAAUUUCAUUUGAUGGUCAUCCCUAAAGAGAACAUAGAAAGCCUUUAAUGCUUGUCCACCCAAAAUGACAUAUCCAGUAUUUAUCAAGAAAAGAUUUGCAUACUGGGAUGCCCAGACAAGUGAAUAGGCUG
rnacentral:misc_RNA from 1 species